UACGAGAGGCCCAAACGUUAUUCGGAAUUACUGGGCUUAAAGAGUUCGUAGGCGGCGCAGAAAGUAGGGUGUGAAAGCCCUCGGCUCAACCGAGGAAUUGCGCUCUAAACUACUGUGCUCGAGGGACCUAGAGGUGAGCGGAACUGAUGGUGGAGCGGUGAAAUGCGUUGAUAUCAUCAGGAACACCGGAGGCGAAGGCGGCUCACUGGGGGUCUUCUGACGCUGAGGAACGAAAGCGUGGGGAGCGAACAGG
rnacentral:rRNA from 1 species